rnacentral:rRNA from 1 species
GCAUUAGCUAGUUGGUAAGUAACGGCUUACCAAGGCAACGAUGCGUAGCCGACCUGAGAGGGUGAUCGGCCACACUGGAACUGAGACACGGUCCAGACUCCUACGGGAGGCAGCAGUAGGGAAUCUUCCGCAAUGGGCGAAAGCCUGACGGAGCAACGCCGCGUGAGUGAUGAAGGUCUUCGGAUCGUAAAACUCUGUUAUUAGGGAAGAACAAAUGUGUAAGUAACUAUGCACGUCUUGACGGUACCUAAUCAGAAAGCCACGGCUAACUACGUGCCAGCAGCCGCGGUAAUACGUAGGUGGCAAGCGUUAUCCGGAAUUAUUGGGCGUAAAGCGCGCGUAGGCGGUUUUUUAAGUCUGAUGUGAAAGCCCACGGCUCAACCGUGGAGGGUCAUUGGAAACUGGAAAACUUGAGUGCAGAAGAGGAAAGUGGAAUUCCAUGUGUAGCGGUGAAAUGCGCAGAGAUAUGGAGGAACACCAGUGGCGAAGGCGACUUUCUGGUCUGUAACUGACGCUGAUGUGCGAAAGCGUGGGGAUCAAACAGGAUUAGAUACCCUGGUAGUCCACGCCGUAAACGAUGAGUGCUAAGUGUUAGGGGGUUUCCGCCCCUUAGUGCUGCAGCUAACGCAUUAA